ACUGCAGUCAAUAAUCAUAGAUAUCUUGAUUUCUCGAGUCGCACACGCAUCCGACCUCUACAGGUAUCUACACGAGGCCCUUGAUCUGAUCAGAGGCUCCUUGAUCUCCCCAGGAUGCUAGCUACUUUGCAGAGAUCUGCUCCUGAUGGUUGAUUGAAGAUCUUCUUCAGAUCUCUAGACCCUCUCAAAGAAGAAGAAGAUUUUGGAGGAAGAAGAGGUGGAGGAAGAAGAAGAAACUCCUUUUCUCUCUCUCCUUAAGACCCCACGCUUAAGAUGAAAACCCUAGGAGCCUUCAUGCCCAAAACCCCAUGCCUAAGGAUGUCUCACGCCCCUUCUCUCAAUUCUCACCAUAAAAAUCUGAAUACAUGCCCCAAGGAAAGGUCCUUUUUAUAAAUGCCGUCCAAGAGAGUUUGGGUGAAAUCAAACUCCUUCAAGAUAAGGAUUGAAUUCAUCUUUGAAUCCAAUUCUUAUCCCUAUCCAAUUGGCAUUGAGAAGACGGGUGACAUCAGCUUUUGGUGUGGAGAAAUCUCACACAAAAACCUAAAAUGGCAUGAGGAAUAUUGGCAUGGAGAUGGGGUUGGUGCAAGGAAAGAGAGUCCCAGUCCAACUAGGCCUCUUAGUGUUUCAAUUUGGUUCCAAUCCAAAUCUGAUUUGGUUGCACCCAAAGAGAGGAGAGAACAUAAUCUAAUUAGGAACACAAUCUCUCCAAUAAGAUCCUAAUCCAAUUAGGAAUUAAUUGAACCUGAAUUCUAAUCAAAUCAAAAAUUGGUCUUUCUUGCAAUUGGGUUAUUUCAUAACUCA
rnacentral:lncRNA from 1 species